rnacentral:tRNA from 1 species
ACAGGCGUAGUUUAAAUAGAAUAUUUGUUUUAGGUAUAAAUGGUGUUACUUAGGUGUAAUCGUUUGUU